CCCAUGUAAACAAAAUUAAGACUACUUUUGUUAAGGCAAUUGUAAAACACAGUCGCUUAUGGAGGAUAAACACUGAUGCCUAACAAGACGACAAUAUGUACGGCUUUUAAUACAGUAAACCAGAAGAGUUUUUAUUACAUUUUGGCAAGUACCUUUUCCAGGCAGGAUUACACACACUUCAUCCAAAAGCUUUAGGAAAAGAAGGACUGGAUAAUAUAUAGUCAACUCUGAUUAUGGAUAGAUCUUACUUUAAAAUUCUGUUUUACAUAACUAAAAAGUAGCUCAUGUUGACUAAUGACUUUUUUCUUUUCCUAUGUAGGCUGAUAGCCCAGCAGGUUCUUUAUUCUUUAUCCCAAGUUAGGGACUAAGUGAUAGAUCAAUCAGAGUGAUUACUAUUUCUUUUAUCUGAGAUAAAUCUCUAGCAGGGAAUGGGGGAGUAAAAAGACUUGUGCAGGGCAAUCUAUAUUAAUUUUCCAGCUCUUUCUGAGCCUCAGUUCCCUUAUCUGUAAAAUAAGGGAACUGGAUGAAAUGGCUUCCGAGGUCUGUUCCAGCUUCAGUAUUUAUGAUCCUAUGAUCCUGAGGCAGAUUCUUCACAGUGUGGCUUUAUUAUUUUGCUGAAGUGUUAUGAAUCCCCAAAACAUCAGCGUGUUUAAAUUUAAAGGUAAAUAAAAAAGCACAUCUUGUAGUCAAAGUCAAAUAUGUUUCUUUUUGGGACUCUCCACUAUCCUGGUACCCAUCAUAUUCAAAGAAAUACUGUGAUCUUUAGUAGAAGGGCUCAAGCUCAUCAAUUUCUAAAUAAUGGCAGAUUUGCUGUCUAAAUUGUUUUUACUCAGAGCAAUUUAACUUUCCACUUAUAAAUAUGGAUAUGGCUACUGCAAGCAUUUAAAGAGAUGCCAGUGACUAUGGGAGAUAAGCCAGUAUUGAAAAUUAAAGUGACCUGAACCGAACAGCUGCCCAAGUAAAGUUUUUUUGCCCAGUUUCAUUUUUAAAAGAUAUGCAAUGUCCACAAAACAAGUAACCUUCAGAAAUUUUAGGAUAAGCUUCCUUUCCAAGGUUAGUCUCCAAUUAAGUGCCCUGGUUUGCUAUAAGGGACAGACUGAUAAUCAUUUCUUAACUAGGCAGGUACUAUAUCACUAAGUACUUGCUUAGUCAUACAUUUUAAAUCUAUAGAUACAUUUUAAAUCACUGGUCCCAUCUUUCAACUUCAAAAGAAUCUAGAUAUUACAGCUAAUAGAAAAUAACUAGGUUUCAGCACUUAAUUCCUUUGUAAGCAAGCUGUAGAAAGGGCAAACUCAAGAUGAGGAUGUCAAACAGAUAGAUGCUAAGAAGUCAGAGAAAGAGAAUCUUAAUCUACAAUUCCCUAACUCAAAAAAGAAUCUAUUUAAACAGGUCCUUUGGGUUUUUUAUUCUUGGCCAACCAUCUUGGGAUCUUACGCUGUUUUGUUGAAUGGGUCAAACCCACCACAAAGUAGAAGUAGUAAAAGGUAAGAGAACCUUGCCAAAUUAGAAUGAUAAAAGACAAUUUUAAAAUACAAGGAAUCUCUUUAAAGAAAACAAAAAUUUCUAAAAAUAGGGACAAUAUUUUGUGCUCUAAAGUUAGCAAGGAACAAAGGAUAGAUUACAAAAGAUGGUGGAAGGGGCAGCUAGGUGGUACAAUGGAUAGAGCACCAGCCCUGAAGUCAGGAGGACCCGAGUUCAAAUCUGGUCUCAGACACUUAACCACUUCCUAGCUGUGUGAUCCCUGGGCAAGUUACUUAACCCCAAUUGCCUCAGCCAAAAAAAAAAAAUGAUGGAAGGUCCAGAUAAAUCCAGUUUUAGAAAUUACUACCACUGAUAUAGCCCAGCAUGUUCUCCCUUUAUAUUUUAUCUUGUUUAUGUUCAAAGGCAGGUUUAGAAAAUAGCUCAUGAUUAGUCUUAUGACAC
ensembl:lncRNA